GGGGAAAUGGCGCAGUGGUAGCGCGUCGAGUUUGCAGGUUUCCAUAUCGGAUUCGAAUGUAAAACAUCUCGAAGGACCGGGGUUCAAUCCCCCGUUUCUCCA